rnacentral:rRNA from 1 species
CAAACUAGGAUUAGAUACCCUAUUAUGCUUAGCCCUAAACUUAGACAGUUACUUAACAAAAUUGUACGCCAGAGAACUACGAGCUACAGCUUAAAACUCAAAGGACUUGGCGGUGCUUUAUACCCCCUAGAGGAGCCUGUUCU